AUCAAUAUCCCCUCUUUGAUUCAUCAGAGAAGUGAGGUCACAGGGUAAACUGAUGCCCCCCAAAUUAGAGAGUCAGACAGGUAGAUACAGAGAAUCACAACUUACUGAAGCAGAAACUCACAAACAAAAACUUCAGUGGAAACCAGUACUGGGACAGGAAAACCUUAACUGUAAUUGACAAAUUGGUAGAGACUCAGCAUGAACAAAUGUAAGAGUUAAAAACUAUAGGAGCCUGCUGUGAUGGCAUACACCUUUAAUCCCAGUAGCUCAGGAGGCUGAGGCAGGAGAAUUUCAAGUUCACAGCCAGCUUCAGCAAAAGCAAGGAAGUAAGCAAUUCAGUGAGAACCUGUCUCUAAAUUAAAUACAAAAUAGGGCUGGGGAUGUGGCUCAGUUGCCGAGUGCCCCUAAGUUCAAUCUCUGGCACCCCCCCCCCAACAAAAAAAACAACUAGAUGGACCAGUUAUGGGGGGAGCCCCAUGCUUUUAUGUGUUUUAUCUCCAGGAACUCGUUCAGACCCUCACAGUGGAUAGAGUGUUAGAGAAAAAUCUCUUCAUGCUUCAGGCAGGAAGAGAGAAAAUAUCUCAUUUUGAAAUACUCCAGAACAUUCUGUUCUUAACAAGGUCUACCUUCAUGAAAAAUUAUUUUAUCAUGCUGGAAUUUUCUGAGACUGACUCACCUAAGGGAAGGGGAAAAUACCCAACUCCAUCCUCCUUUAGACAUCCUGUUCCACUUAAGGGAUAGAAGGAGUGGACCAAGGAGCACUGAUGAAAUUUACAGUCCAGAUGCAUACAAUCACUAACAGACUGAAAUGUAAUAUAAGACUUUAGAACACUUUACCUCCAUUCAUACCUUAUUAUUACAUUACUAAAGGCUUACUUACCAGUUACUUUGACCAAGUACAUCAUGUCCAGUUAUAAAGAUAAAUUUACAGGACAUACUAAAAAUCACAAAGACAUUUUAUAAAUACAAGAGUAAACAUCAGAACCAAACAUAGCAGGAAUGUUGGGAAUAUCAAAUAGGGACUUUAAAACAGCUAUGAUUAAUGUGCUAAGUGUACUAAUAGAUAAAGUAUAUAGUACUCAAGAACAGGUGUGCAGACAGAGGAAAAUCCUAAGGAAAAAAACAAGAAGAAAUACUAGAGAUCAAAAACAC
rnacentral:lncRNA from 1 species